rnacentral:rRNA from 1 species
GGCAAGUACGCUGUGCGGCAGGGCCUUAAAAUGCAAGUCGAGCGGAUGACGGGAGCUUGCUCCUUGAUUCAGCGGCGGACGGGUGAGUAAUGCCUAGGAAUCUGCCUGGUAGUGGGGGACAACGUUUCGAAAGGAACGCUAAUACCGCAUACGUCCUACGGGAGAAAGCAGGGGACCUUCGGGCCUUGCGCUAUCAGAUGAGCCUAGGUCGGAUUAGCUAGUUGGUGAGGUAAUGGCUCACCAAGGCGACGAUCCGUAACUGGUCUGAGAGGAUGAUCAGUCACACUGGAACUGAGACACGGUCCAGACUCCUACGGGAGGCAGCAGUGGGGAAUAUUGGACAAUGGGCGAAAGCCUGAUCCAGCCAUGCCGCGUGUGUGAAGAAGGUCUUCGGAUUGUAAAGCACUUUAAGUUGGGAGGAAGGGCAGUAAGUUAAUACCUUGCUGUUUUGACGUUACCGACAGAAUAAGCACCGGCUAGCUCUGUGCCAGCAGCCGCGGUAAUACAGAGGGUGCAAGCGUUAAUCGGAAUUACUGGGCGUAAAGCGCGCGUAGGUGGUUCGUUAAUUUGGAUGUGAAAGCCCCGGGCUCAACCUGGGAACUGCAUCCAAACUGGCGAGCUAAAGUAGGGGA